UUGAGCAAUUCACUUUACAAAUACUCAAUGUUUUGUCAUCAUCAAAAAGGGGGAGAUUGUGGAGUGAUUGAGUAAAUCUGUGGAGUGAUUGAUUAAAACCCUAUUUGAUUUUGAUGAGCUCAAAGCAUUUGAGUAUAUCUUUUGUCUACUAAUGAAUUCAAUUGAGUGUUUCAGUGAAAAUCUUGUCUAAGUGUCCCUAGACUUGGUUCAAGAUAUUUUGGAUAAGUUAAGAAGUCAGUUUGAACCAAAGUCUGAGACUCGAGUCGACUCCAGGAUAUUACGAGUCGACUCCAAGCGUAUCAGGAUCACUGGCACGAGCUCGAGUCGACUCCGGAUCAUUAUGAGUCGACUCCGACUGAGAACAGACAGAUAGACAGAAGGAAUCAACUUAAAACCUGUCAGCGAGUCGACUCCGAUGUUUACCGAGUCGACUCCGGAGAAGUAUGAGUCGACUCCAAGGAGUUACAGGCAGAAAAGUCAGAGAGCGGUUUUCGACCCUGAGAUUCGAGUCGACUCCUGUGGAACGCGAGUCAACUCCAAGGAUUGGCAGGUCGACUCCAAAGAAAGCGAGAGUCGACUCUCAGCGGUACACAAAGAAAAAGUCAGAGGGCAGUUUUUUGACUCUGAGAUUCGAGUCGACUC
rnacentral:lncRNA from 1 species